rnacentral:rRNA from 1 species
CCUACGGGACGCAGCAGUGAGGAAUAUUGGUCAAUGGGCGGGAGCCUGAACCAGCCAUGCCGCGUGAAGGCGAGUGCCCUACGGGCGUUAAACUUCUUUUGUGCGGGAGCAAUAAGGGCCACGUGUGGCCCGAUGAGAGUACCGCACGAAUAAGCAUCGGCUAACUCCGUGCCAGCAGCCGCGGUAAUACGGGGGAUGCGAGCGUUAUCCGGAUUUAUUGGGUUUAAAGGGUGCGUAGGUGGUUAAUUAAGUCAGCGGUGAAAGUUUGUGGCUCAACCAUAAAAUUGCCGUUGAAACUGGUUGAC